UACAGAGGGGGCAAGCGUUGUUCGGAAUUACUGGGCGUAAAGGGCGCGUAGGCGGCCUUCUAAGUCGAACGUGAAAUCCCCGGGCUCAACCCGGGAACUGCGUCCGAUACUGGAUGGCUUGAAUCCGGGAGAGGGAUGCAGAAUUCCAGGUGUAGCGGUGAAAUGCGUAGAUAUCAGGAGGAACACCCGUGGCGAAGGCGGUUCUCUGGGACGGUACUGACGCUGAGACGCGAAAGCGUGGGGAGCGAACAGG
rnacentral:rRNA from 1 species